AAGCAUAUCAAUAAGCGGAGGA
rnacentral:rRNA from 6 species